AUUGAACGCUUGCGGCAGGCUUAACACAUGCAAGUCGAACGAGUGGCGGACGGGUGAGUAAUGCUUGGGAAUCUAGCUUAUGGAGGGGGAUAACUACGUGCAACUGUAGCUAAUACCGCGUACCAUAGCAUGAGCCCAAGUGGGAUUAGGUAGUUGGUGAGGUAAAGGCUCAACAAGCCGACGAUCAAUAACUGGUCUGAGAGGAUGACCAGCAACACUGGGAAUGAGAAACGGCCCAGACUCCUACGGGAGGCAGCAGUGGGGAAUAUUGCGCAAAGGGGGCAACCUGACGCAGCCAUGCCGCGUGAAUGAAGAAGGCCUUCGGGUUGUAAAGUUCUUUCGGUAGCGAGGCGUUAACUACAGAAGAAGCAACGGCUAACUCCGUGCCAGGAGCCGCGGUAAUAC
rnacentral:rRNA from 1 species